rnacentral:rRNA from 1 species
AUGGCGGCGGCGGCGCCGUGCGCCACGCGGAGGCCUUUCAGGGAGUCGCUCAAGGUGCUGGAGGCCGACAUCCAGCACGCCAACACCCUGGCGUCGGACUUCUCGCCGGACUACGACGGGGCGGCGUGCCUGCAGAUGCGGAUGCCCUACAGCCCCGCCGCGCGCAGCUUCCUCUUCCUCCCGCAGCGGACCGACUGCAGCCUCGCCGCCCCCUCGGCCUCCUCAGGAUCCCCAUCUAGUACAAGGUACCACUUCUCUUCUGUCUCCGUGCCUGUGGUUCCCUUCCAGAAUUCGUGCCAUACAUAUUGUGCUCUCACAGUGCUCGUCGUGCUGGUGUCCUUGCUGAAUCUUGCCUCUGCUUCCAUUGCAUCUGCAGGUUUAUGUGGACGGCACCACAGCCAUUUGUCCAUCCACGAAAUGAAAGCCAGCACCAAGGAAUUCUGUCUACGGUACCUAAACAGACGUCCAGCAGAAACUGAAGCUGUGAUGUUUCCCUCCCUCGUGCAACUGGAACACGGGGUCAGCGACACCGGCGACCCGAGGCGGAGGGUGGUGUGCUCGGAGAGGUACAGGAGGAGAGACGGCGAGGGGGAGGAUAGCAAGAGGCCAGUCACCGAGAUAGAAGAGGCGUGUGCAUCAAGUGCUACCGUCAACGGUGAGUGGGAACAAGAACCUGACCCAAUCUCAUAA